GAGAUCGUACUUCUAGGGAUCAGUCCUAUAGUACGUAUCGCCAGGAAGUCAAACAAACUUGACACUGGCUAACCAACCGUGAUGAUGAUCAGUGCGGC
rnacentral:snoRNA from 1 species